GUGAAUCAUCGAAUCUUUGAACGCAAAUUGCACUCUCUGGUAUUCCGGUGAUUAUGCCUGUUUGAGGGUCAGUAUAAAUAAAAAUCGAGGUGUUGAUUAUGGUGACGCUAUAGGAAGUGGGUUAUCUUUAAUCUUAAUAAAGGUUUAAAGUGACCUAAAAUUGAUGAUACUUUUUGCAUCUCAAGACGUACAUAAGAAUUUUUUUUUUAUCAGUAUGGAGUUUGUAAAAUCUUUAUUAGGUAUGACUAUGAUCGUAUGUGGCAUUUGUACUUAUAAUAUUAAAUCAUAUUUUGAU
rnacentral:misc_RNA from 1 species